GCCAGUGUGGUCUAGUGAUUUGAGAGUUGGACUAUGACUCUAGAGACCAGGGUUCAAAUCCUCGCUCAGGCA